UUUCAGACAGUCCUCCAAGCUACAUACAGUAUUUUCUGAAACAGGAAAAUAUUUUGUAGCUUGGGCAUUUGCAUAAUGAGUUGUGGAAUUCAGCAGCUCAUAAAGGCUGGAGAUAGAACAAGCAAGGAUGAAAGAAUGUAAACAAAGAUAGCAAAAAAUAAAAAUGAUGGGCAUUUAGUGUGAUACUUCUGCCCCCACCCCAAUGAAGGAUCUGAUAUGAGAUAAUAUGGUCUAGGCUCAAGUCUUGGCCCAAUUAGCAGCGAUCAGAAAAAAUAUUUCACAUAAUCUAUAUAAAUGUAAUAUUUUUGCCUGCAUGACUUUUUGAAAAAGUAAUAGAUUUUUUAAAAUAUUUUUUUGAUGUAUUAUAGGUAGUCUUCCACUUACGACAACAGUUGGCACCAGAAUUUCCACUGAUGAGCAACGACAGUUGUUAACCUGGUCAUUACCUUGGUUCAGCUAAACCUUCUGAACACUUCAAUCAAAUUCUGUUGUCUAUUAAAGUUACCUGUCCCAUUACAACACCUGGAUGUCUGCAACUGGUUUCUGCACAUGUGGGCGUUGCAGGUGUUUCCUGAUUGGCAUCUCCACCUUCUUCAGCAGCUCCGGAGAACAUAUUAAAGGCUUCAGAAGUUUAUAUUUUCCCACAACCUCAUUAUUGAAUGAUCUGAGAAAAACCAAAAGGAAGAAGCAAAAGGUUAAACUGAUGCAAGGGCUCCACCAAGAUCAACAAUGUUGGGCCAUGCAAAGCACUUUUAUCUGGAAAAGCAGCUGGAAGGUGGUGUGAUUCCAAUGGGAAAAUGCAUCAGGAGUGAAAAGGGUCUAAGCAUGAACCCAAGAAGCAUGGAAAACCGUCAUCAUGAAGAGCACGUUUUUCAACUAUUGAAUUUGCU